CAGGUAGAAGUCUCAAGGUCAACACGCUUUCACACGGGAACGCAACCGUUUCGGACGUUGGACGAACGUAUGUUGCCGCAAAAGAUCAAGGCCAACUUGCUUUCAUUUUUUACAAUCUCCGUAUGGGAUGUGGAAUUUCAAAACGCGCCGAGUCUAAAUGUCAAGUUGUUUUGCUUGUUGAGAAUAAUAAUUAAUUGCCCCCUUUAUAUUUGCUCCGUGGGAUUAACGUAAUGGGAAAAAUUUGUUGCAACGCAUGUGGAGGUGUCUUCGUUUGUUAACUUUUAGAAAGUAUUCUCGCACCGUAUAAAUACAUCUCAUUUUUCUCUGUUUUGUCAGUAGUUGUUUUUGGUAUUAUUCGUGCAACGUGGAAGCUAACUUAGUGGUUUGGUGUUCGUACAAAAAAGCAGUCCUAAAGAUCAUCUUAGUACUCUCAACCCGUAACCGCAAAUAGAAUAGCAGCAAUCUUAAGCAUGGACUUAAGUCAACUGAAUCAAACCUGUCUUGCAGAAGGUGAUUUUGAGCAGCCGAUUGUCAAACUGCAUGAAUUGCCGAUAGGCGUUCCGUUUAAAAUUACUAGAGCCAAAAUUGUUAAUACAAAAUUUGGCAAUUCCGUGUUGCUGCAAUUAGAAAAUUCCGUAGUAUUUCUUCCUACUCGCGUGACAGAAGCUUUCCGUCCGAGACUAGAACACUUUGCGUCGGGGCAGUACAAACUGGUCUACGAGGGAUCCAAAGAUAUUGGAAAGCCCAACUCUUUAAAGAAAUUCAAAAUAAUUCAAAAUUAAUCAACAUAUUAUACAGGAUUAUGGUCAAACAACUUACAUUAGAAAGCCUUUGUAUUAUAACAAUUUGCGAAAAUAUUAGGUGUAGUGCUGAUUUUUUGCGUGAGUCACCUUUGCCUUGGAAACUAACGAUACUAAUAUUUAAAUAUUAUUCGAAAUAUAGAUGG